CGCGUAUUUUGCCCAGGCGGAGCUCGACCGCCGGUUCAAGCCAUGACGGCGUUCAUCGACGAACACCGCGACGUCUACGGGGUCGAGCCGAUCUGCAAGGUGCUGCCGAUCGCUCCG
rfam:Immundisolibacter cernigliae strain TR3.2, complete genome.